AAGCAACUCUCCCCAUUCUGAUUGUGCAUUACGGAAGAGGAUCCAAACACAAGCAACAUUAUCAGAAGUAAAAAUUGAGAAAAUGAAAAUUCCCGAUCAUCGAAAAUGGAUGGUAAAUAGACUUCUUCCAAAAUCGAUCAGCAUAUACAAAUGAAUUCAUAAAUGGAAUGAAUGACAUUAUUGAAUUUGCUUGUUGUCAACAAAAGUUCUUGUCUGAAAAAGUGAUAAGGUGUCCUUGUAAGAUUUGUAUAAUAUGAAGUUUUUAACACCCGAUGAAGCUAAUGUACAUGUUUUUAAGAAAGGAUUCACACCUGGUUAUUGGUAUUGGACGUCACAUGGAGAGGAAGCACCUCCUAUUUAUUUGAAUGAACAUAUUGAUGUAGGUGUUUCUAGUAGUCAUCAAGACUGUACAUUUGACAUGCCUCCAAGCAGUCAAAGCGACAUUCUAAGGGAACACUACGAACACAUAAAUAGAUAUCAAGGUAUGAUACAUGAUGCUGCUGGUGUAGAAUUUGGGCAUCAUGUUGAACAAAAUGUAGAAGAGUCUCUGAAUAUGGAUGCUACAAAAUUUUAUAAAAUGUUGAAUUCAGCUCAAGAACCCUUAUGGCAUGGAUGUAAAUAUUCAGAGUUGUCUACGACAGUCAGAAUGAUGAGUAUUAAAUAUGAAUACAAUAUGUCCCAUGGCUCUUUUGAUGCAAUGGCACAACUAAUGAAGGACACAAGUUAUCCAGAUAAUAAGAUACCUCCUGAUCAGUCUCGGGCAAAGAAGUUAGUGUCAGGGCUUGGUCUAACUAGUCAAAAGAUAGAUUGUUGUGUUAAUGGAUGUAUGUUGUAUUAAAAGGCCGAUCAAGAGAUAAUAGAAUGUAAGUUUUGUAAAGAACCUCGUUACAAAGAAUGUAAGGGAAGAAAGGAUAGCAAAAAGAUUCCACACAAGACUAUGCACUACCUGCCACUUAUUCCUAGGCUUCAACGUCUAUAUGCUUCAAAGCGAUCUGCUGAGAAUAUGAGGUGGCACAAUGAAAAUCGCAGAGAAGAAGGUGUGUUGUCCCACCUUUCAGAUUGACAAAGCAUGGAAAAAUUUUGAUUAAACUUAUCCAGACUUUGCUCAAGAGCCUAGAAUUGUUAGGCUUGGUCUUUGUUCUGAGGGUUUUACUCCUUAUAGUCAGUCAGCAACACCAUACUCUUGUUGGACAGUGAUUGUCACUCCUUAUAAUAUUCCUCCUGAUAUUUGUAUGACUGCUCCAUAUAUGUUCUUAACAUUGAUCAUUCAAGGUUCUCACAAUCCCAAGAAUAAAAUUGAUGUGCAUCUUCAACCACUAAUAGAUGAGUUGCUACAAUUAUGGACAGAUGGUGUACUAACUUAUGACAUAUCAAAGAAACAAAACUUUCUUAUGCAAGCGGCAUUGAUGUGGACAAUUAAUGAUUUUCCAUCUUAUGGCAUGUUGUCGGGAUGGAUACAGCCGGUAAAUUAGCAUGCCUAAUUGGUAUGGAACAUACAAAAACAUUUAGUUUGAAAAAUGGAAGAAAAGUUACUUGAUUUGACUAUAAUCGUCAAUUCUUGCCUCUAAAUCAUGAAUUUAGAAGAAAUAAAAAUUAUUUUUACAAAGGAAAAGAGAGAAGUCUAGGCCUCCACCCAGGUUAACUGGAUAUCAAGUGUGGGAAAAAGUGAGAGGGUUUCCUAAGAUCACUGAAUCUGGUCCACACAAAUUCUAUGGCUUUGGAAAAUCACAUAAUUUGACCAAAAAAAGUAUUUUUUGGGAUUUGCCAUAUUGGAAGACCAAUUUAGUUCGCCAUAAUCUUGAUGUAAUGCAUAUAGAGAAGAAUGUUUUUGACAAUGUUUUUCAUACUUUUAUGGACAACAAAGAGAGGACAAAGGAUAAUGAGAAGGCAAGAAUGGAUUUGAAAGAAUAUUGUCAUCGAAAUGAUUUACACUUGCAAUUGAAUGAUAAUGGGAAAUGUAUUAAACCGAAAGCAAAGUUUACCUUAGAUGAUGGCCAAAAGAAAGAUUUGUGUGAACGGGUUGAUCACUAAAGAUGCCUGAUGGAUAUGCUUCCAAUUUGAGUAGAUGUGUUGCUAUGGAACAUUUGAAGUUAUUUGGAAUGAAAAGUCACGACGGUCAUAUUUUUAUGCAAUACCUUCUUCCAGUUGUUUUUAGCGCACUUCCAAAACCUAUCUGGAAGUUAUUAACUGAACUCAGUCAUUUCUGUAAAGACUUGUGCUCAGCAGUACUACAGGAGGAUCAUCUAAUGCAAAUGGAACAAAAUAUUCCUAUAAUCUUAUUGUAGGUUCCUGAACAAAAGUAAAAAGACCAUAACAACAAAGCUAGAGUUGAAGGAUCUAUUUGUCAAGCAUAUUUGGCUCAAGAAAUCUCAUACUUUGCUUCCCAUUAUUUUGAAUCUCAUGUCCUAUGUAAUAACAAUAGGGUUGGGAGUAAUGAUGAUGUCAUUGAAAAAGAUGAAAAUCAGCCAACUUUAUCAGUCUUUAAUCAUUCUGGUGGAAGUUAUAGUAAAAAGGAUGUUGAUAUCCAAUGGCUAGAUGAUAAAGAAGUUAUUGCUGCACGGUUGCAUGUUCUUGUUAAUUGCGAUGUAGUUAAACCUUUCCUCAAGUAAGUUCCAACCACAUUAUCCAUUUGAUUAUUAAGAGAAGCUUAAUUAUAUUUGGUUUGCUAAUUCAAAUACAUGCAGUUUGUAUGAGUAAGUCUUGAGAGAUGUUUAUUGUGAUCUCAUUGAUGAUGAAAUUGAUAAACAAAUAGCUGAAGACUUUCCACGAUGGUCCAAAGAUUAUGUGAAUAGUAAUCCACAAGUGAUGUCGCAGAAUCCAUUUCUGAAAAUCGUUGCAAUGGGACUACUAAGACGAGCAAAAUCUUGGCUUGUUUAUUUUGUGAAUGGAUACAAAUUUCAUACUUCUUCUUGGGAUGAAGGAAGAAUUACAUAUAACAGUAGGGUGUGUGUUAGUGGCACUGGAUAAGAUGGUACUACUAGCGAAUAUUAUGGUGUUCUUAAGGAGAAUAUCGAGUUAGAAUGGCCAAUGACAUCAUGUAUGAAGUCAGUUUUAUUUUAUUGUAAUUGGUUCGAUCCCUAUAAAAAUGGCAUGAGAGUUGAUAGUCAAUUUGGUAUUGUUGAGGUUCGAAAAAGGGGAAGAUAUUCUAAAUUGGACCCUUUCAUCUUUCCUGAAACAGCAACCCAAGUUUAUUAUGCAAAUCAUCCUGAAAAAAAAGGAAAUAAGGUUGAUUGGUGGAUAGUUAUAAAGACAAACCCAAAAGGAGCUAUAGAUACAAGAUACAAUGUGGAAGUUGCUUACCAAGGGGAGCAAUCACGUGUUACUAGUGCAAGUAUAGAGGAUGACCCAAUUGAUGGCUUACGGGAUGAACAAGCUGAUGGUGAAGAGGUUAAUGGAAGUAGUUUACAAGUAAUUGGCAUUGAAGAUGGACAUGAUCUAAUUGAAGAGGAAGAUAAUGAAAUAUCAAGUCAAGAAGAGGAAAGUGAUAAUGAGACAACAAGUGAAAAUUAAAAGAAAAUGAAGAGGAGGAGGCAACAAGUGAAGAGGAAGAAUUUUUCGAUAGUGAUGAUUCAGAAGGUCAAGAAGAAAAUGAAGACGAAAAUGAGGAGGAUUGAGAAUAUUAGUUUGUCGAUUUGUUUUUCCACUGUACAAUAAUACAUUUGGUAAAAUCUAACGUCAUAUGUUCUGUUAAACAAAAUUAUUAUGUAUUUACUUUGCCGAAGUGCUUAUUUGUGUAAGUUAAUAUAGAAUGAAACAUUUUAACCGUUGGAA